rnacentral:rRNA from 1 species
UGGGGAAUAUUGGGCAAUGGGCGCAAGCCUGACCCAGCAACGCCGCGUGAGGGAAGAAUGUCUUCGGAUUGUAAACCUCUGUCCUUGGGGACGAAAAAAAUGACGGUACCCAAGGAGGAAGCUCCGGCUAACUACGUGCCAGCAGCCGCGGUAAUACGUAGGGAGCAAGCGUUGUCCGGAAUUACUGGGCGUAAAGGGUGCGUAGGCGGUCAGGCAAGGCAGAUGUGAAAUCCCCGGGCUUAACUCGGGUGGUGCCUUUGAAACUGCUUGACUUGAGUGCAGGGGGGGAAAGCGGAAUUCCUAGUGUAGCGGUGAAAUGCGUAGAUAUUAGGAGGAACACCAGUGGCGAAGGCGGCUUUCUGGACUGUAACUGACGCUGAGGCACGAAAGCGUGGGGAGCAAACA